rnacentral:tRNA from 1 species
GGGUAUAUAGCUCAGUGGUAGAGCACGUAUCUAGCAUACACAAAGUCAUGGGUUCAAUCCCCAGGACAUCCA